UAAGCAGCUAAGGCUCUGUAUGGUCCCAGCCCUUGCUGCUGUUUCCCUGGAUUACUUCCUACAUAACUAACUUCCCUUUUCCCUGAAGUCACUAGCCUUGCAAAUUCCUCCACUCAGGGAAUGACUGCAGCUUGCUUUGCUGUACAGCUUCUUUGCUGUUUACUGAUCCUGGGCUUUAUCCUGGUUCUAUCCAUUUCUGGCCAACUGAGCCUACUUCUAAUCAGUGGCAUUCUCAUGUGCUCCUCCUCCAGGUGCAUCCAGUGGAGUUCUUAUUGAAGGCUGGUCCCCAUAACCCCUUUCAGCACUGUGUAAUACAGAUGCACUAUAAUUAUAAAGAAGUGGGGACUUGGCAAGGCAAGAAUUCAGGUACAGUGGGCUGCUGAAGUGAAAAAUGAAGAGGAAAGAAAGUUAUUUACAUUCUUUGGAAGAGUUGAAGAUCAAACACAGAACAGGAUCAGAGAAAUUAUGGAAAUUAGCUACUUAAGGAGACUUGUAUUGGAGAGCUUGAAGAAUCUGCUUGACUAUGGAGAAUAGGAAGCCUUCUCAGGCAAGUGUUGUAAACUUCUGCUAUCUAAGCCAUCAUCGAGACACAGAUUACAAGCCUUAUGACUGUAAAGGUGUCUAAAAAUAUACAAACAUUACAAAGUCAGCACAUGAAAAGUUUCAAGGCAAGUCUUUGGAGAUCUAAAAUCUGUUUGUGAAGUGACAUUCAUUCCACCACAGAGAGAAAUUUAUUGAAAAGAAAUCAAAGGAAUAACAGUUUGGUAAUAAAGAAACAUGUUUGCGGUUCUAAAAUGUAAUGCUCCAUGCUUCUCUCAAGGCUUGCUUGUGGAAGAAAACCCCUCUUGUCCAUUUUGUUUCAAUAGCUCUAUGCUACAGUGGAGCAUAAGUGAAAUGACUUUCUCCUUGAAGAAAAACCAUAGUCAUUGGGGUCCAUGGGUGGGAUCUCUGAAAGCACUUAGAUGCCUAAGUCUCUGUUUUGGCUCCUUUGCAAUCCACAAACCUUCCACCAAACCCUAUAGGCACUUAGUCACUCGGCAUGUAAGGUUUCAGGGUAAAAGUUCCCCAGAUGUCUGUGUUUCUACAUCUGAGCACAUGUACUGUUGCUCCUGUCAAUCUCCCACCUAAGCCCCAGAGUGAUCCACAAAACAGGGGAAGACGGGUAUUCAGCCACCUGAUUUGCAUGCAGGGUCUGAUUUGGUAGGGGCCCUUUGAACAUAGAUCCGAUUCAAAAUUCAGCAGGAGGAAGUGCUGUUGCCACCCACCUUAACUUUUAGCCCAGUGGCUAGAGCACUCCCCUGGGAUGUGGGAGACU